GGUGGUGCAGAUGUAUUCUCAUCUGGUGUACAGCCAGCUGGCUUUCUGCAAGGCCUAGCUUUCAGUCUUCACUGAGCUAUAUAGCUUGAGCACUGAGGGAACUCAUCAAGUUCCAUAUCGCUUCACCAGAGUUCCUCUUAUCUGAAAAGAUACAUGCAUAUGGGCUGGGUCUCAGUGAAUUUAAAACCUGCAGCCUCAGGGAGUCCUGAGACCAACACCCCCCACCGGCCUUCCACAAGAAGAUGUUGCAGAGCAGAAGCUCUCCCUGCACUCCCUGCCCCACAGUGGCUACAUCCUGGCCCCUGCAGGGCCGAGAGGCAGAAGGCACCUAGGGAAUUCCCUCCUGUCUCUGGAAAUUGGUUGUGGGGGGAAGGGGUCAGCUGGAUCCAGUGGAUAAAAGCCUGGCUACUGGACUAAGGAGAACCACCUGGCUCUUCAGCAGCAGAGCAGUGACUGGCUGCAAUCUGAGCCUCUUCCUAGCCCGGGGCAGGCUGUGCAGUUGGCCCAGUAUCCAAGGACCCUGCUUGGGAGAGGGCUAGAGCUGCUGAGGAGCAAGAGGCCCCCUGUAGUCGAAGCUGCCCUGAUGCUAAGGGUGUCAAGAAGAAUUCUAGACAUGGUUUCUCAAGGAAAGGAAAGGCUCAUCGACAGUGCAGAAUGUGGCCUUGAGGAACACCCCACACACACCGGCCGAGCGUCUCCGCCAGAUAAGAAAGUGCCCAAGAUGGAACAAAGAUGACAUGUUCUGGGAGGUACUGCACUUCUCCAAUGCAGAAAAGGGCACACUAGGAGUGGAAGGAAGCCAAAAGGCAGGACAGAAAAGAAAAUCAGGAGUUUAAGGACGCUACUGAGUGGAUGAUUAAAGUCAUGGAGGAGCAAACGCAGAUGCUAAAAUCCUUAAUGCUGCAGAUGGAGCAGAUGCAUGCUCACCCUCCCCUCGCAGCACAUUCAGAACUCUUUUUGGUGUCCCCCCAAAAAACUCUACCAACACUGUCCUUUCUGGGACUACUCCAGCCCCUUGGACAACUUUCAAAAUGACAACUGGACCUACACACAGGUCUGAAAGUCUGCCCUUCCCUGGUACCUCCUUUCCCACCAAACAGCUAUGUGGGUGUGGGAGUGGUUUCUUGUGCAAUAAAAGCAAAAGUUU